rnacentral:rRNA from 11 species
GUUUACAGCAGUUGAAAUAAGGGGAAGACAGCAGAUCCCAUCUGAUCUUGGAAGCUAAGUAGUUUCAACUUGGGUUAGCACUUGGGUGGGAAACUGCCAACAAAUACCCAGUGCUGUGGAUU